rnacentral:rRNA from 1 species
AGUGAACGCUGGCGGUAGGCCUAACACAUGCAAGUCGAACGGCAGCACAGUAAGAGCUUGCUCUUACGGGUGGCGAGUGGCGGACGGGUGAGGAAUACAUCGGAAUCUACUUUUUCGUGGGGGAUAACGUAGGGAAACUUACGCUAAUACCGCAUACGACCUACGGGUGAAAGCAGGGGAUCUUCGGACCUUGCGCGAUUGAAUGAGCCGAUGUCGGAUUAGCUAGUUGGCGGGGUAAAGGCCCACCAAGGCGACGAUCCGUAGCUGGUCUGAGAGGAUGAACAGCCACACUGGAACUGAGACACGGUCCAGACUCCUACGGGAGGCAGCAGUGGGGAAUAUUGGACGAUGGGCGCAAGCCUGAUCCAGCCAUACCGCGUGGGUGAAGAAGGCCUUCGGGUUGGAAAGCCCUUUUGUUGGGAAAGAAAAGCAGCAGGUUAAUACCCCGCUGUUCUGACGGUACCCAAAGAAUAAGCUCCGGCUAACUUCGUG